rnacentral:piRNA from 1 species
UCACUGAAGUCACUCACAAUG